GACGAACGCUGGCGGCGUGCUUAACACAUGCAAGUCGAACGGAAAGGCCCUGCUUUUGUGGGGUGCUCGAGUGGCGAACGGGUGAGUAACACGUGAGUAACCUGCCCUUGACUUUGGGAUAACUUCAGGAAACUGGGGCUAAUACCGGAUAGGAGCUCCUGCUGCAUGGUGGGGGUUGGAAAGUUUCGGCGGUUGGGGAUGGACUCGCGGCUUAUCAGCUUGUUGGUGGGGUAGUGGCUUACCAAGGCUUUGACGGGUAGCCGGCCUGGGAGGGUGACCGGCCACAUCGGGACUGAGAUGAGGCCCAGACUCCUACGGGAGGCAGCAGUGGGGAAGAGUGCACUAGGGGCGGAAGCCUGAUGCAGCAACGCCGCGUGCGGGAUGACGGCCUUCGGGUUGUAAACCGCUUUCGCCUGUGACGAAGCGUGAGUGACGGUAAUGGGUAAAGAAGCACCGGCUAACUACGUG
rnacentral:rRNA from 1 species